rnacentral:rRNA from 1 species
GACACAGGGAGGUAGUGACAAGAAAUAACAAUACAGGGCAAUUGUCUUGUAAUUGGAAUGAUGGUGACCUAAACCCUCACCAGAGUAACAAUUGGAGGGCAAGUCUGGUGCCAGCAGCCGCGGUAAUUCCAGCUCCAAUAGCGUAUAUUAAACUUGUUGCAGUUAAAAAGCUCGUAGUUGAAUUUUUGCGUGGUGUUAAUAUUGACUGAUGUCGAGAUUGCACUUCGCUUUUGGGAUUUUUCCCUUUUUACUUUGAGAAAAUUAGAGUGUUUCAAGCAGACUUUUGUCUUGAAUACUUCAGCAUGGAAUAAUAGAGUAGGACUUUGGUUCUAUUUUGUUGGUUUGUGAACCUUAGUAAUGGUUAAUAGGAACGGUUGGGGGCAUUCGUAUUUAACUGUCAGAGGUGAAAUUCUUAG